rnacentral:tRNA from 1 species
GCUGAGGUGGCGGAAUAGGUAUACGCACACGUUUGAGGGGCGUGUCCUAAUAUUUUUUUGGAUGCGGGUUCAAGUCCCGCCCUCAGCA